AUAAAGUAUAUCAAAAGAACUCUCUAAUCAGCUCUAAAAAGAAAUCUGAUAGAUUUUCUAAACUUUCUAUUUGUAAUAAAUACUGAUUAAUAUAUACUAUCUCAUUCAAAACCCUUUCUAAAGUCUCUACACAAACAAACUCAGUGAAAAUUAUGUUAUAAUUAUAAGAAUUGACAUCUAGAAGAUUGAGUCUGUGCAAGCUUUUUAGAUAAGUCAAAUUUUAAGAUUGACUUGAAUAUAUCAAGUAUAUUUUAGAGAUGUAGACUGCUAUAGACUGAGAUUUCAAAUCAGAGUUGAUUUUUCUUUUAUCUGAAGUCUGAAUGAAUUCCUCACACUAUAUUAGCAUUCUAUCUGAAUUUAACUAUUCUCAUUAUAAGAGAAGCUCUGAGAAACAUGAAAUUGUAUAUUGAAUAGAUACUGAUGUAUUUUAUCAUAUCUCUAAGACAGUAAA
rnacentral:sRNA from 2 species